AUGUGGACGUUGCACAUCGUUGCACUUCCGAACAGGACGGCCCCCCUCUCCCCGCCUGCAGUAACGUUACAUUCACCGCUGCAACUGCAUGAGGACCAUAUGGAGUGUCUACAAAGCGAUACAUUGAUAUAUAAGGGGACAAGAGCACGGAUGUGUGACCAUGCAAAGGAAGAGGACGAGGAGGGAUAAUGCCAUCGUGGAGCAGUCUGGGCCGAGAGGUGUGUUGCUGAGUCACUCAGAGAUAUGAGCUUUGAAUAUCCAAAAGGCUCCUCAACAGCUUCUAACCCCAAGCCAUAAAGACUGUCUCACAAUACAAUGUCACAGAUGUUCAUUUCUCUACCAUAAGCCGCCUCCAACGUUGUUUCAGAGAAUUUGGCAGUACAUACAACAGGCUUCACAACUGCAGACCACGUGUAACCACACCACCCCAGGACCUCCACAUUCGGCUUCUUCACCUGCGGGAUCGACUGAGGAGGGGGAGGGAGGGUGCUGAGGGGUAUUUAUGUCUGUAAUAAAGCCCUUUUGUUGGGAAAAACGAAUUCUGAUUGGCUGGGCCUGGCUCCCCAGUGGGUGGACCUGGCUUCCAAGUUGGUGGGCCUAUGCCCUCCCAGCCCCACCCAUGGCUGCGCCCCUGCACAGUCAUGUGAAAUCCAUAGAUUAGGGCCUCAUUUAUUUAUUUCAAUUGACUGAUUUCCUUCUAUGAACUGUAACUCAGUAAAAUCUUUGAAAUUGU